UACGAAGGGGGCUAGCGUUGUUCGGAAUCACUGGGCGUAAAGCGCACGCAGGCGGGUCGUUAAGUCAGGGGUGAAAUCCCGAGGCUCAACCUCGGAACUGCCUUUGAUACUGGCGACCUUUGAGUCCGGGAGAGGUGAGUGGAACUCCGAGUGUAGAGGUGAAAUUCGCAGAUAUUCGGAAGAACACCAGUGGCGAAGGCGGCUCACUGGCCCGGUACUGACGCUCAUGUGCGAAAGCGUGGGGAGCAAACAGG
rnacentral:rRNA from 1 species